rnacentral:rRNA from 1 species
AUUGAACGCUGGCGGCAUGCCUUACACAUGCAAGUCGAACGGCAGCACGGGUGCUUGCACCUGGUGGCGAGUGGCGAACGGGUGAGAAAUACAUCGGAACAUGUCCUGUAGUGGGGGAUAGCCCGGCGAAAGCCGGAUUAAUACCGCAUACGAUCUACGGAUGAAAGCGGGGGACCUUCGGGCCUCGCGCUAUAGGGUUGGCCGAUGGCUGAUUAGCUAGUUGGUGGGGUAAAGGCCUACCAAGGCGACGAUCAGUAGAUGGUCUGAGAGGACGACCAGCCACACUGGGACUGAGACACGGCCCAGACUCCUACGGGAGGCAGCAGUGGGGAAUUUUGGACAAUGGGCGAAAGCCUGAUCCAGCAAUGCCGCGUGUGUGAAGAAGGCCUUCGGGUUGUAAAGCACUUUUGUCCGGAAAGAAAUCCUUGGCUCUAAUACAGUCGGGGGAUGACGGUACCGGAAGAAUAAGCACCGGCUAACUACGUG